UGCAGAAUUCAGUGAAUCAUCGAAUCUUUGAACGCACAUUGCGCCCGCCGGCACUCCGGCGGGCAUGCCUGUCCGAGCGUCAUUUCAACCCUCAGGCCCUCCCUUCCGGGGGACGGGCCUGGUGUUGGGGCUCGGGGUCCGCAAGGCCCCCGUCCCCUAAAAUCAUUGGCGGUCGCGCUGUAAUCCCCUGCGUAGUAACACACCUCGCUCUGGAGACCAGCACGUCCACGCCGUAAAACCCCCAAUUUACCAAGGUUGACCUCGGAUCAGGUAGGAAUACCCGCUGAACUUAAGCAUAUCAAUAAGCGGAGGAAAAGAAACCAACAGGGAUUGCCUCAGUAACGGCGAGUGAAGCGGCAACAGCUCAAAUUUGAAAUCUGGCCGCAAGGUCCGAGUUGUAAUUUGCAGAGGAUGCUUUUGGUGAGGUUCCUUCCGAGUUCCCUGGAACGGGACGCCAUAGAGGGUGAGAGCCCCGUACGGUAGUGAACCGAGCCCCUGUAAAGCUCCUUCGACGAGUCGAGUAGUUUGGGAAUGCUGCUCUAAAUGGGAGGUGUACGUCUUCUAAAGCUAAAUACCGGCCAGAGACCGAUAGCGCACAAGUAGAGUGAUCGAAAGAUGAAAAGCACUUUGAAAAGAGGGUUAAAAAGUACGUGAAAUUGUUGAAAGGGAAGCAUUUAUGACCAGACUUGGGCUUGGUUGAACAUCCGGCGUUCUCGCCGGUGCACUCUGCCAGUCCAGGCCAGCAUCAGUUUGCCCCGGGGGACAAAGGUGGCGGGAAUGUAGCACCCUCCGGGGUGUGUUAUAGCCCGUCGCGUAAUGCCCUGGGGCGGACUGAGGAACGCGC
rnacentral:rRNA from 1 species